CAGACGCGCUCGUGCACAUUUUCUGAAGUAAGGCUCGAACGAGAGGAGAUGAUAUCUUGAGCUCUGGUCAGAGCUGUUGCAAUUGCAGCUCCUGGUCAUGGACAGUUGAUGAUGGUUAGGCCUGUCCCAGCCACUCGUGAGGCCUGCGUCAGGCUCCAGUGAAACACCAGAGUGCCCGUGCCGCAUGCAUGGCGGACAUCUGUGUGCUGUGUGUAUGUCAUCAUUCAGCUGGGGACAAUGUGGAAAACUGGGCCAGCUGAAUGGAGAAAAACUGCAUGGUCCCUCGCUGUUUGUGCCGUUAUGUACCCUACGGUCCAGUGCGGGCCUGGUUCUUAUUGCAGUGAUGCGCAUGGAUUUGUAGAAUUGCUUUCUCACUUAGCUCUAAGUUAUGACAUAUUUGUGACAUUAGGCAAGUUCACGUUUAAAAUGCGGACGACUCCUUUGCAUUGACAUUCAUGGCCAUUUUGGAAUCAAUUUGAUUUUACACAAAAUGUUAUUGGCCCCACACAUUAUCAUAGUCAUACUCUAGAUUAGAUGUGGAUUAAGUUUUGGCAUCGUUACUGUUAGUGGUGUUGAAAUUCACCCUCAUAAUCCUGUGCUUUCAGACCAUUGUCAAAUUGCACUGCAGUCGAUCCAGCCUGCAAAAUCUGAAUCCAUGCUGCACACAGGGUGCACUAUUGCUACCUCUACCAUUACAAAAUUCAUUGAUGUGCUGCCAGAUUUAGAUGCCCCAACUAGCUCCCUGCCAGCAGAAAAAUUGGAAAAUCGAUUAGCUACUUUUGUGUACAAAACACUUGAUGUAGUUGUUCCAAUAAAAAAUAAUUUUUUAAAAAAAGGGAGAAAUUAAAUGCUCACUGAUAACAAUUUUAAAGUGAGAAAAAUAUGAAUACUAUAGUUUACUUUCCAGGUGUCCAAGGCAUUCUUGUGUGAUGAUGAAGAUAAGACAUUUAAACAGCUUUUAUUACAUUGGAUUAUUGCACAUAAAUAGUUAAAAGCAAAAACAGCUAAAAACUUUCAGCCACAUCGCUCUUCACCAGGGUCCAUGUAACCAACAGAAAAAACAUCAUGCACAUGGAAUUAGUAACCAAUCAGAGAAUUAGCCAGAGGGAUCAUGUGAUUUAAUGAAAAAUAAGAAAGAUUCUAUAUAACCGCAAUAAAGUAGAAAGAAAAUCAUAUAUGAAAAGCACAGUAAAUCAAGCACUUUGGGGUAAUUUAAAGAAUCCAGAAAGUUCGCCAUCUAAGAGGCAUUUUAAUCCCCAUCACCAUUUCAUAUUUUCAAUGGCCUCAAUUUGCAAUAGAGAUGCAUUAACAUCAUGAGCCUUUGCAAAGUGCCUGGCGAUAGGAUAAUCCUGGUUAAUGGUCCUAAUGACAUGUUGAUGUUCAGAUAGGCAGUCUUGAAUAUGUCUUUUCAUACAACAGUGAAAACAGUGGUAAGGGUAAGUCUAACAAUACACAACAAAAUGUGUAUUAAGGUUAGUAGAUUUAAAAGUGCCUGUUGGUUUUGUCAGCCAAGAUUUGUUCUUUGUUCACAAAGCAUUUACUGUUUGAGAGUUUCCAAGAACAAUUAAAAUACAGUGGGAGACAACGCUUUCUCCUACAGAGUUCCUGUCUCACAAUCUCUAUUUUCAUGUCAGUACUUUGGACAUACUCUCUCUUCUUAAGCAUAGGUUCAAAACGAACAUUUCUGAGUUGACGCUGUAGUUAACGAUGUGGGGGAAGGGUAGAUGAGGACCGCAGAGCUGACGGUGCAUGUGAACGCUCUGGCGUGCUGUUCUGUGCUGUGUUGUGGUGUUCAUCCAGGAUCACUCUCUCGGUUGUGUAAACACGUAGCAACAAACUGUGAGUUGUUUACAUUCUUUCUGCUUCUUCCACUCUACAUGGGUACAGUUCCAGCGCUACUUGGGCUUAUUGAACAAAUGUGCUUCAGCACGGUAUCCCCCAUGUUAAUCCUUUCAAGAGUAGGUUUUUUGGAAUGUUUUAUCAAAAUUCUGUCAGUAAUGAUUGUUACAUCACCAUUAGUAUGUUCACUUAAAGGUCCAGGAAACUGGAUUUUGGUUGUAUAUCCCAAAAGUGAUGAUGGAUUGUCUUCUUAAUAUUUGCUUCAAGUUUUUAACCGUGUUAUAACCAUUUAAUCUAAUCAACAGUAUUAGAUUAUUGUGACCUGUUCAUCAGACAAGGACAGGGUGGGCGUGUAUCCUGCGCUCAUUAACAUUCACAUCCAUAAGACACGUCAUAUGUAAACCAUGUCUUGUUGCUAUUAGAGCCUGUUAGAGCAGAUUGUCCCAUGUAGUAACAUUACACUACCAGACAAAA